CGGGGAAACCAGUGCAGUCGGGAGCUGUCCAGCACUUCAGGACCAUGGCUUUUGAGGUCCUCUCUAGACUUUUGAAUGUUUAAGGUAGUAAAAGAAGCAAGAAGCACAGACUGACGCUUGACUCAAAGGGGACUUGAUGAGAAGUCUAAUGAGCAAGAAUCCAGCUCACCUCUGCCACUCACUGCCCAUGUGAUUAAGUAACUUAACUUAUCUGAGCCUCAGUUUCUUCAUCUAUAAAAUGGGCUUGUGGAGUUUCGGUGAAGAUUUGAAAUGUUCGGCAGAACGUUUGGCUUUAUGACAUGGUCUCUCUGUCCUGGAACUUGCUCUGUAGACCAAUGUGACCUUGAACUCAGAACUCAGGGUUCUGACUGCCUCUGCCUUCCAAGUGUUGGUAUUAAAAGCUUGUGCCAUCAUGUCCAACUUAAAAUUUCUAAAAAAAAGAAUAUUCUAUCCUCUCUCUUUCUCUGUCUCUUUGUCUCUCUGUCUCUGUGUGUGUGCACGACUGUGUGUGUGUGUGUGCACAAGUGUAUGUGUGUGUGUG